UACGUAGGGUGCGAGCGUUAAUCGGAAUUACUGGGCGUAAAGCGUGCGCAGGCGGUUUUGUAAGCCAGAGGUGAAAGCCCCGGGCUUAACCUGGGAAUGGCAUUUGGGACUGCAAGGCUUGAGUGCGGCAGAGGAGACUGGAAUUCCUGGUGUAGCAGUGAAAUGCGUAGAUAUCAGGAGGAAUACCGAUGGCGAAGGCAGGUCUCUGGGCUGACACUGACGCUCAUGCACGAAAGCGUGGGGAGCAAACAGG
rnacentral:rRNA from 1 species